GACGUAGGGUGCAAGCGUUGUCCGGAUUUAUUGGGCGUAAAGAGCUCGUAGGCGGCUUGUCACGUCGGGUGUGAAAGACCGGGGCUUAACUCCGGUUCUGCAUUCGAUACGGGCUAGCUAGAGUGUGGUAGGGGAGAUCGGAAUUCCUGGUGUAGCGGUGAAAUGCGCAGAUAUCAGGAGGAACACCGGUGGCGAAGGCAGGUCUCUGGGCUAUAACUGACGCUCAUGCACGAAAGCGUGGGGAGCAAACAGG
rnacentral:rRNA from 1 species